rnacentral:tRNA from 2 species
GCCGAAGUAGCUCAGCGGUAGAGCAACGCACUCGUAAUGCGUAGGUCGUGGGUUCAAAUCCCAUCUUCGGCUCCA